rnacentral:sRNA from 1 species
UAUUCUGCCCCACGGGGAAGGAUGAGAAGCUUCGACCAAGGUUCGACUCGAGCGAAGCGAGAGAACGUUGCCGCAGGCAACGGCCCGAAGGGCGAGGCGCUUUAGCGCCGAGUAAUCCUUCCCCCACCACUG